rnacentral:rRNA from 1 species
AGUGGAGCAAUCCAUGAGUACAGUGGCGUACGGGUGAGUAACACGUGGGUAAUCUGCCCUUUGGUGUGGAAUAACCCUGGGAAACCGGGGCUAAUACCGCAUAAGCUCGAGAGAGGAAAGCAGCAAUGCGCCGAAGGAGGAGCCCGCGGCCGAUUAGCUGGUUGGUGAGGUAAGAGCUCACCAAGGCAAAGAUCGGUAGCCGGCCUGAGAGGGCACACGGCCACACUGGCACUGAAACACGGGCCAGACUCCUACGGGAGGCAGCAGUGGGGAAUCUUGCACAAUGGGGGAAACCCUGAUGCAGCGACGCCGCGUGAGCGAUGAAGCCCUUCGGGGUGUAAAGCUCUUUCGGCAGGGAAGAUGAUGACGGUACCUGCAGAAGCAGCUGCGGCUAACUACGUGCCAGCAGCCGCGGUAAUACGUAGGCAGCAAGCGUUGUUCGGAGUUACUGGGCGUAAAGGGUGUGUAGGCGGUUGCUUAAGUUUGGUGUGAAAUCUCCCGGCUCAACUGGGAGGGUGCGCCGAAUACUGAGUGACUCGAGUGCGGGAGAGGAAGGUGGAAUUCCUGGUGUAGCGGUGAAAUGCGUAGAUAUCAGGAGGAACACCGGUGGUGUAGACGGCUUUCUGGACCGUAACUGACGCUGAGACACGAAAGCGUGGGUAGCAAACAGGAUUAGAUACCCUGGUAGUCCACGCCCUAAACGAUGCACAUU